rnacentral:ribozyme from 1 species
AAAUAAGCAACUCCUAUCCCUACCUCCUCGUGGUACUGGUCGGAGUACGAGCAACCUUAGGGAAGAUCGGGUACCGGUGGGAACUUUGGUCAUCUGCUGGCAGGGAUAAGG